rfam:Holospora obtusa F1 contig000080, whole genome shotgun sequence.
GGGCCUUUAGCUCAGUGGUAGAGCAUCUGACUUUUAAUCAGAGGGUCGCAGGUUCAAGUCCUGCAAGGCCUA